AAGGAAGGUCACGACAGUCUCUCCCCCUCCCCCCCCUCCUUCUCCGCUUUUGAUACACGUGCAUUCCUUCCUGAUCAUUAAUCAUGGACGCUACCUGACAACCGUAAGGGUGAAGUGGGCGACACUACAUGCGCCAAAUCUUACUUAAGUAGUACUCUUAUUAUUGAUUAGCAAAUACCAUAAUUAGAUAGGAUUAGAGGAGACCGUGUGUAGGGUGGCAACAGGGAGAACAAAUGAAAGGACCAACAUGGAAAAUCGCAUGAGGCCCAGUGGGAGGGGGGAGCCACCUUUUAUCUCCCAGCUCUUCAUAAUCAUAAUCGGUCGAUUGAGGAACACCCCAUGUGCUUCUCUUCCCUCGGUCGGUCUUUUGGGCAGUUUCAACGCUCUUCCUCUCCCGGUCGUUCCACUCCCAAGUUGAUCCCAUAAGUCUUGGCGACCGGCAACUUUCUGACAUAACCGGCUGCAGGUCCAUAAUCUCUCAUCAUAUUUCUAGUUUUAGAUAGGAGAGAAGAACUCGCACCUAGCCGGCGUCGCAGGUGGAGGCUUAACGACUUGGGUGCAGGAUGGGGUGCCAGUGCAAAAGAAAGGGGUAUACAGGGAUGGUAGGGGCGGCGGUGGCACAACGAAGGGGGUGGUUCGGUGAGGCGGCAUGGUAGUGCCGCCGGGAUCGGUUGUUUAGGCAAACAAUUAGGUCUAGGUUGGAGGGCGGCGGGUGCCAUGCCGGGCGAGGAAGAAGGAGGUGGGCGGCUGUUGGAUUGAUAUCCAAUGGUUGGGGUGAAUCAACUUAGAAUUAAAAAAAGGGAAAUUGUUUUAUAAGUUCUCAUUUAUUACAUCUCCUCAUCGUGUUUUCAGGAGUUAGGGUAUCACAGAAUUAAGUGAAGACUUUCCGCAAAAAAAAAAAGAAUUAAGUGAAGACGUGGUUGUUUUUCAA